CCUCUCUCUUUUUUUGGCUGGUCGGUGCGGGAAGGAGACGCCCUGGGCUGGGAUCACAUGAUAUUGUCUUCGCGCCACUUUCGUAAAACCCUUUUUAUUCCAGGGCUUUGCUCGGGCUCAAAGGUACUGUUGGCUCCUGCGCUUCAGUCAAGACACUUCUGCCAUGCUUUAGCUGCUCUGCAACAAGGAGACCUUUUAAGUGGAAAAGUUUGGUGAUGGGCCUUGAGUUGUGCAAAAGUGCUUACAGUGCAGGUAGAGUUUAGGAUCUACUGCAGUAUAAGCACUUCUGGCAUUACUGUGGCGAUUUAGUGACGGUGGUGGGUCACGAACACAACCAGGAUUGUUGUUUUGCUGUGUUGGAGCUGCCUUACAAAUGGUUCUUGUGUUAAGGUGCAUCUAGUGCAGUUAGUGAAGUAGCGUAGAAUCUACUGCCCUAAAUGCUCCUUCUGGCACAAGCUGCUGCCUGCACGUCCAAAAAGAAAGACCAUGCAUCCAUCUGGCUUUAGCUCAGCGAUUAUAACUUUAGUUAAGGCGUUUUUUCGUUGAAGGCAAUUUCUCGGGAAGUAGUUUUGUCCUAGCAGUAUCAAAGUGCUCAUAGUGCAGGUAGCUUUGAAUUGAACCUACUGUAAUGUGGGCACUUAUAGUACUGCUAGAUAAAGUGCAUCCCAGCUAGUGACAGUUUCUGGAGAAGACAGUGCUAAUUACAGUCAGUUUUGCAGGUUUGCAUCCCAGCUUACUAAAAUUGCUGUGCAAAUCCAUGCAAAACUGACUGUGGUGGUGGUGAAUCUGUGGUGAAUAAUGGGUUUUGAAGUGCCUUUUCCCCCCUGCCCCUUUUUCCAUGGAAGAUCUCAAGAUGCCUUGCGCUGGUUUCUCCAUGGGUGGGGAUUUGUUGCAUUACUUGUAGCUGUAUGUAGAGUAUUGCACUUGUCCCGGCCUGUGGAGGAAAUGAGGACUUGUCUUCAGGCUGCGCUGCCCCGAAUUUGCCAGUAUGGUAAGCUUUGUUUUGCUGUUGUCGGGUGGAUCACGAUGCAAUUUUGAUUAGUUUAGUAGGAGAAAAAUUGCACGGUAUCCAUCUGUAAACCGCAAGACCUUCAUCGCUGACAACUUAGCUUUUGUCAGUAACCAGUUCUCACAGCAGAGCCUGCAGUGUGUGUACAACAGCUUGUUGGUGACUCCGCAGCUUGAAGGGAUGGGAAGAAAGAAAAGUUCUCCAGAUACUAAGGUUUGUCUGCCAUUUAAAAAGACAAAAAAAAACCAAACCAAAACAAAUCCCAACACCUGGAAGAGUUGCAGUGGUCCAAGGAAGGACAUUUUGGGAGUUUGUUUCUGUAAUAACAUGUAAGUGACUGGUGGACAUACCAAUAAAAAGAUUUUAAAAUAAAA